UGCUGRUCUGCUCCCUCCUGGUGUAGGCUGUGUCUCCAUCCCUGGGCAACUGAGUGUUGGGAGCUGCAGUGCUUUGGACGCUCUGCUGCUUUGUCUUAUCACUGUUUGUUCUGGCCGCUCUCCGCUGAGCCUGUUGUGGAUUGGCCAGGCUGGUGGGCGGGGCAUUACUCCUCUGGCCCCCAUAGAAGGGCACUUGGAGAGACGACGACGACGACGACAACUUGUUCCAUCAUUUGAAGUAUUUUCUUUUGUGUUGCAUGUUCUUUUGUUUUCUUGUUUUAUUUUGUUGCAUUUGCAUGGUUUUCUUGGAACAACCUCAUCUUGUCUGUCCCUUCUUGUGUGUUCCCUUUUUCUUUGGUUCCGGCGACCAAGUAGUGAGCCCGAUGCCUUGGAUUUUAAAAGAAGUGUUUUAAAAAGAACUUUUAGAUAAUUGUUUAAUAAAGUAUUGUACACUGUUAAAUCUG